rnacentral:misc_RNA from 1 species
UAAUAAGUAGUUUUAUGGCACUUUUUAAAUCCAUAUCCACCUUGUGUGCAAUGUCAGUCGAUCUUCUUCAUGGAGAUCGACCAAACAUCAACCUUUAUCUUUUAACUCUUUGUCUGAAAAAUAUUAUGAAUAAACAAUUCAAAAUA